CCAAGUUUUCAAUGUCCCAGGAAGGGCACCGAGCCAAUGCAUUCAGUUCACAGUGCCCUUUAUUUUAGAGGAACGUGAUCCAGGGAAGAAAUGCUACCAGGUUUUGGCACCAGUGAUCUCAAAACAAAAUUUGGGGGGAGAGAACUUCAUAAGGCAGGUGGUUACGUCCCGAAUCCAAAGUGAAAAGGACGGAAUCGCAGAGGAUGUGGGAGCAGAGGGAAGCCGGUCAGGCAUUUACACUGAAGUCUUCAAGAGCCUGACAACUGUAAAAUAGUGGGCAUUUAUUGGAUGUAACCCUUCUGCUUCUCCUCACCACAGACCUUGCUCAGACAGUGCAAAAAGCUUACUAACAGUUUAUUGAGAAAAUACUGCUUAAGUUCCAGCUCUCAAAACGGAUUCUGUCCUUGUAUGGAAAAGUCACGGCGACUCGAGGAUAAGACCCGAUAUGGCGUAUCGUCCCAAAACUGCCGUGUCUAAACAAUGGUUUAGAUCAUCAGCGAAAUGGUUUAGAGCCUGCUAGUCCCUCAAAGUCCCAUGGGUCCGUUGUGCAUUCGUACUUAGCCAGGCUCUCUAGACUACAGUGUUCUCCUUUGCCUCCAGGCCUUUACACAUGCUGUUCCUUAUGCCUGAAAAGUCCUUUCCCUGCCUUGUCCUUGAGUUUAGGCCUGCUCCUGCUCCAAGGUAGGGCCAGGUACCUGUGAAUCCCGUACGACCAUAUCGGUAGACUCUGUUGUAACGUUCACUGUUCGACGCUGUAACCAUCCAUCUUUGUGUCUCUUUCUUCCCCCAAAGCAGGAGAACCGUGAGGGUAGCAUCUUAAUCACCUUUGUGAUGGAGCAUGUCUAACUUUGAUAAUUAAAAAGUAACAUGUUGCAAGUUAUUUUGCUUUUUAGAUAUCACACGGCAGUUCAGUUCCAUGUAGAAGGGGACAAAAAAGAUCAGUGGAGAAAGCUACCUUCAGUAAAUACAACCACCACCAAAACAGAUUCAAGGAAAAGGCAAAAGGAAGCUGUACUGGCAAUACUGAAACUCCAAUAUCAUAAUUCAGACAGCAAUACUCACUUCAUGAUUUAUGCCAACCUCCUUUCUUUCUUACGCCAAAUUAGCAAGAAAUAGGCUCAAAUUUCACCCACAGCUCCUCUUUCUUGAUCUUUAAAACGAAAGUUGCUAUAUAAUGUCAGCACAGUGCCCGGAUUUGAAAUGAAAUAGGUCCCCAAUGUAAAAGGUAAAGUUCUUUUAAACAACAUGAACUUGCCUGCAAUUAAGCACAUUACAGCUUCUACCUCAGCAUUCUGCUAUAUAAAAAUACACUCCUGGAGCUUCUGCUGUUUUGAGGACCUUAACUUCUGCGCUUUCUGUACCUAUUUUAUACGAGAAAAUUUGGAAGAACACACACAAUCAAUUUUUAAGUGUUACUUGUCUGCUUUUCCCUUUCACACCU